GAUGAAGAACGCAGCGAAAUGCGAUAAGUAAUGUGAAUUGCAGAAUUCAGUGAAUCAUCGAAUCUUUGAACGCACCUUGCGCCCUUUGGCCAUUCCGAAGGGCAUGCCUGUUUGAGUAUCAUGAACACCUCAACUCUUCAUGGUUUUCCAUGAUGAGCUUGGACUUUGGGGGUCUUGCUGGCCUGUGGGUCGGCUCCUCUCAAAUGAAUCAGCUUGCCGGUUUUUGGUGGGCAUCACAGAUGUGAUAACUAUCUACGCUUGUGGUUUUCCACCAGGGUAACCUUCAGCAGUGGAGGUUCACUGGAGCUUACAAAUGUCUCUCCUCUGUGAGGACAGCCCUUUGAAUGUUUGAUCUCAAAUCAGGUAGGACUACCCGCUGAACUUAAGCAUAUCAAUAAGCGGAGGA
rnacentral:misc_RNA from 1 species